rnacentral:rRNA from 1 species
CCUACGGGUGGCAGCAGUGGGGAAUAUUGCACAAUGGGGGAAACCCUGAUGCAGCGACGCCGCGUGAGUGAAGAAGUAAUUCGUUAUGUAAAGCUCCAUCAGUAGGGAAGAAAAUGACGGUACGUGAGUAAGAAGCUCCGGCUAACUACGUGCCAGCAGCCGCGGUAACAUGUAGGGGGCAAGCGUUAUCCGGAUUUACGGGGGGUAAAGGGAGUGUAGUCGGUAGUGUAGGUCUGGGGUGAAAGGUGGGGGCUAAAACCCCGGCCGGUGUUGGAAACGGUACGGUUGAGUGCAAGAGAGGUAAGUGGAAUUCCUGGUGUAGCGGUGAAAUGCGUAGAUAUUAGGAGGAACACCAGUGGCGAAGGCAGCUUACUGGACUGUAACUGACGUUGAGGCUCGAAAGCGUGGGGAGCAAACAGGAUUAGAUACCCCUGUAGUC